rnacentral:tRNA from 1 species
UGAGAUAUAACUCAGUGGUAGAGCACUUGCCUAGCACGCAGGAAGCUCUAGGUUUAAUCCCCAGUGUCACAA